rnacentral:rRNA from 1 species
GGGGGGGGGGGGGGGGGGGGGGGGGGGGGGGGGGGGGGGGGGGGGGGGGGGGGGGGGGGGGGGUGCGCGGGGGGCGAACGGGGGGGGCAGCCGGUGGUGACCGGCCCGUGACUGUGGCAGAACUCGAGGAACCUGGGCCUACUGGCGGAUGGGAGCACCGGGUGCCUGGUGGGGCUGGGGACGUUUGUUCGGUUGGGGAUGGACUCGCGGCUGAUCAGCUUGUGGGUGGGGUGGUGUCUUACCAAGGCUUUGGCGGGUGGCCGGCCUGAGAGGGUGACCGGCCACAUUGGGACUGAGAUACGGCCCAGACUCCUACGGGAGGCAGCAGUGGGGAAUAUUGCACAAUGGGCGGAAGCCUGAUGCAGCAACGCCGCGUGCGGGAUGACGGCCUUCGGGUUGUAAACCGCUUUCGCCUGUGACGAAGCGUGAGUGACGGUAAUGGGUAAAGAAGCACCGGCUAACUACGUG